rnacentral:ncRNA from 1 species
UACUGGUCAUCACAUCCACAAAAUUCGCCUGCUGCUCACAGAUAAUCCGUGUAAUGCGUUCGCGAUCUUCGUGGGUCAGCAGAUUGAGAUAGUUGUGCGCCAGUUCGUUACUCAGGAUAUUGCUACCGUCACUGAUGCGCAGAAUACAGAUCCCUACCGGUGCCGAUGCCACAAUCUUGUGGUUAAACUGCUCAUGUUCUUCCAGCCGGAAGGCAUUUUCUUCCGCAGGCAAAAACAUCUUGCGUUCAAACAGCCAGGCCAGGCUGAACAAGACGAUGGCUGACAGCAAAUUUAACAGUACUGCAUUAAGGAGCAAUACCUUAAAACGCUCUGCCACACUUUUUACUGGCAAGGCAUACACGAUACUGAGCGAUGAUGGUGGUAAUGCCUUCUUCAUGAUCAGUUCAUGAUAACCAUCAACAUAACCAAAAUACGCCUGCACCUGUGGAUAAGCAGAAAGUGCAGAGGCAGAAUGUUCCCCAUUUACCA